rnacentral:rRNA from 1 species
CGUACACUCCUACGGGAGGCAGCAGUGGGGAAUAUUGCACAAUGGGCGCAAGCCUGAUGCAGCCAUGCCGCGUGUAUGAAGAAGGCCUUCGGGUUGUAAAGUACUUUCAGCGGGGAGGAAGGCGAUAAGGUUAAUAACCUUGUCGAUUGACGUUACCCGCAGAAGAAGCACCGGCUAACUCCGUGCCAGCAGCCGCGGUAAUACGGAGGGUGCAAGCGUUAAUCGGAAUUACUGGGCGUAAAGCGCACGCAGGCGGUCUGUCAAGUCGGAUGUGAAAUCCCCGGGCUCAAACUGGGAACUGCAUUCGAAACUGGCAGGCUAGAGUCUUGUAGAGGGGGGUAGAAUUCCAGGUGUAGCGGUGAAAUGCGUAGAGAUCUGGAGGAAUACCGGUGGCGAAGGCGGCCCCCUGGACAAAGACUGACGCUCAGGUGCGAAAGCGUGGGGAGCAAACAGGAUUAGAAACCCCUGUAGUCCCAU